AGGGUAUUAUAAUUUGAACUUAUCGAAAUAACAGCCUAUCGACAUUCUAUCAAGUUCGAACCCUUCCAUUUUAUGGCGAAGGCCCUUAGCCUUAAAGGGUGUUAUUUCGAAAUUAUUAUAAUAACAGCCCGUCGUUAUUCGAUCGAGGUCGAACCUUUCUCUUUUUUGGCGAAGGCCCUUGGACUUAAAGUGUGAUAUUUCGAACUUAUCAAAAUAACAGCCCGUCGUCGUUCGAUCAAGGUCGAACCCUUCUCUUUUUUGGCAAAGGCCCUUGGUCUUAAAGUGUGUUAUUUCGAACUUAACAAAAUAACAGCCCUUCGUUAUUCAAUCGGGAUCGAACCCUUCUCAUUUUUGGCGAACGCCCUUGGCCUUAAAGGGUGUUAUUUAAAACUUAUCGAAAUAAUAGCCCGUCGUUAUUCAAUCGAGGUUGAACCCUUAUCUUUUUUGGCGAAGGCCCUUGGCCUUAAAGGGUGUUAUAUAGAACUUAUCAAUAUAAUAGGUCAUCGUCGUUCGAUCGAGGUCGAACCCUUCCCUUUUUUGCCGAAGGCAUUUGGCCUUAAUAGGUGUUAUUUCAAACUUAUCGAACUAACAUCCCGUCAUCGACCUUUCUUUUUUUUUGGCGAAGGCCCUUGGCCUUAAAGAAUGUGAUUUCGAACUUAUCGAAAUAACAGCCCGUCGUCGCUCGAUUGAGGUCAAACCCUUCCCUUUUUUGGCGAAGGCCCUUAGCCUUAAAGGGUGUUAUUUCGAAAUUAUCAAAAUAA
rnacentral:lncRNA from 1 species